AUACGGAGGAUCCGAGCGUUAUCCGGAUUUAUUGGGUUUAAAGGGUGCGCAGGCGGCCAUUUAAGUCAGCGGUUAAAUCGUGGGGCUCAACCCCAUUCUGCCGUUGAUACUGGGUGGCUUGAUUGCGGUCGAGGUUGGCGGAAUUCGUUGUGUAGCGGUGAAAUGCAUAGAUAUGACGAAGAACACCGAUUGCGUAGGCAGCUGACCAGACCGCAAAUGACGCUCAUGCACGAAAGUGCGGGGAUCGAACAGGAUUAGAUACCCUGGUAGUCCGCACAGUAAACGAUGAAUACUUGUUUUCGGCGAUAUACAGUAAGCGGCCAAGCGAAAGCAUUAAGUAUUCCACCUGGGGAGUACGCCGGCAACGGUGAAACUCAAAGGAAUUGGCGGGG
rnacentral:rRNA from 1 species